GCAAGAGAGAAAAUGUGUUGCCAAGGAGACCCAUUGUGUGCAGAGGAAGGAGGAGUAAUGAUACCUGUGACCAUGCAGCUAUAAUUUCCCCUGCCUCCAUCUCUUGACCUGCAAGAGCUCACAAAAGAUUGAGGUACUGAAGAUACUAAUAUGAACAAGAUGUAUGAACAGCCUGUCUUCAUUAAGCUUACGCUGUGAGGACAGAGAUCUAAUGUAUUACAGUAUAUUUGCUGAAGGAAAAUGUACUGUCUUUUAGCCAAGAGAUCUGGAAACAGAAGAAGUAGAAAUUUGGAAUGAAGAGAAGAGACGAGAAGAACUAGCCAAAAAAAUGUCAAAUGAAAAUUUUGUAAGCACCAUUAGUUUUUUUAAAAGUAAUUUGCAUACUUGAACCGUAAACUUGUGCUAAAGGCAACUAUAUAAGCAGUUAUAAAAAUUACAGAACUAAAAACUAC